GGAAUAUUGGUCAAUGGACGAGAGUCUGAACCAGCCAAGUAGCGUGCAGGAUGACGGCCCUAUAGGUUGUAAACUGCUUUUAUGCGGGGAUAAAGUGAGGGACGUGUCCCUUUUUGUAGGUACCGCAUGAAUAAGGACCGGCUAAUUCCGUGCCAGCAGCCGCGGUAAUACGGAAGGUCCGGGCGUUAUCCGGAUUUAUUGGGUUUAAAGGGAGCGCAGGCGGGCGUUUAAGCGUGACGUGAAAUGUAGCCGCUCAACGGCUGAACUGCGUCGCGAACUGGAUGCCUUGAGUGAGUACGACGCGGACGGAAUUCGUGGUGUAGCGGUGAAAUGCUUAGAUAUCACGAAGAACCCCGAUUGCGAAGGCAGCUGACGAGUCCUUUACUGACGCUAAAGCUCGAAGGUGCGGGUAUCGAACA
rnacentral:rRNA from 1 species